UGGGCGACCGCCUCGAACUCAGCAGCCCU
rnacentral:piRNA from 1 species